GCGGUGCAAGAUGUGCUUUGUUGAACAGAUGCUUGAGGGCAGCAUGCUCGUUAAGAGUCAUCACCACUCCUUAAUCUCAAGUGCCCAGUGACACAGACACUGCGGAGGGCCGCAGGGUCCUCUGCCUAGGAAAACCAGAGACCUUUGUUCACUUGUUUAUCUGCUGACCUUCCCUCCACUAUUGUCCUGUGACCCUGCCAAAUCCCCCUCUGCGAGAAACACCCAAGAAUGAUCAAUAAAAAAAAAAAAAAAUGUAAGGGAAAUUCCUAGAAUCCUGAAACAAAUAGGGGACUGAUUGCCAGAGUCGAAAGAAUUGAGUUGUGAAGCUUAUGCUACACGAGAGCCCACCAAAGGCUAUGUUGUCAGGGAAAAAAAUGAAAUAAGAAAACCCAGGUAGAGGUACAAACAAAGAAGCUGGGCUCCAUGUGAGAAAAAUGUUUUGUUUUGUUUGCUACAGAGUCUUGCUCUGUCACCCAGUGGUGGCACACACCUGUGGUCCCAGCUACUCGGGGCUGAGGUGGGAGGAUCACCUGAGCCCAGGACGGUUGAGGCUGCAGUGAGCAGAGAUCAUGCCACUGCACUCCAGCCUGGGAGAUAGAGCAGUGAGACACUGUCUUGAAAAGAUAAAUAAAAUAGUUGAAAAAUAAUUCAUUAUGAGUGAAAACCAACAGAUUUUUAAAAACAGAGUUAGAACCGUAGGAUUUCAGAUAAUUUGAGUAAUACGAUAGAUGCUUUUUUAAAAUCAUUUGAAAUCCUUUAUAGAGAUGGGGGUCUUACUAUGUUGCCCAGACUCGACUGCAGUGGUGUGAUCAUAGCUCACUGCAGCCUCCAACUCCUGGGCCCAAGCAGUCCUCCUGCCUCAGCCUCCAAGUAGCUAAGACUCCAGGGGCAUGGUACCACACCCAGCUUUUUUUUUAAAGUAAAGAUAGGGUCUUGCUAUGUUGCCCAGUCUGGUCUCAAACUCCUGGCCUCAAGCAAUCCUCCUGUCUUGGCCUCCCAAAGCCCUGGUACUACAAGCAUGAGCCUGGCCAGAUGCUUUGAAAGAUAUUUUUAAAAAUAAAGGCAUAAAAGAAGGAUUAAAAAAUAAAUUGUAUGGGAGGAAAAAAAAAAAGAACCCAGCCAGGCAGAUUUGAAAAGGAACCUAUUCAAACAUUUAGGAAUGAAUAUAAUCAUUUGAAGUUUAAAAAUAGGCAGAUGGAAAGAUUAAAGACUAGAUUUGACAGAGCUGCAGAUGGAAUUGGCAAACUGGAAAAUAGAUCUGAGGAUAUUAAAGUAGCAAAGAAAAUAUUUGAGAAUUUAAAGAUUAAGUGGAAGAUAGAAUAGGACUUGAACAUACAUCUGAUAGGAGUUACAGAAGAGAGAAAAAGGAGGCAAUUUUUGAAGAAAAGGCUGAAAUUUGUCCCGAUUUAAUUAUGUGCAUUCAAUUUUAUGUUAUUCUCCAUAAUGUAUUUCCAUUAAAAUUUAAUCACAUGGUCUUUAUAGCUUUUUAUGACUGCAUAUAAACUAAGUUGAUGGUGAACGUUUUUGAGGAAAUACGCUUUAUGAAGAAUCUGUGUGGAUAAUCUAAUUUACUGAAGCUGUGAUUGAUUCAAGUUACUGAAGCAAGUGAUGUUACCUUUGGUAGGAUGGGAGACAGCAGGCCUGGUACUGUGGGAAGACUUGUUCUAGCUCCUGCUUAACAUUUAAUAUCCAUGUUGUUUAGCCAAGUCAGCUAACUUCUCUUUGAGGUUCAUUUUUCUCAUUCGUAAGUGGGAAUAAUAUCUGUGCAGCCUACCUCAUAGGAUUGCUGUUAAGGUCCGUAAAGAGCAGGAAAUCAACAUAUUAAAGGAGAAAAAUUAAAUGAUCAUGGCGAUAUCUGCUUGUGGCAGAAACAAUGCCAUGUGUUCACUAAAUUAUUUUUUCUUUUCUUUUUUUUUUUUUUGUAGAUACACAGUUAAAUUACAUUUCCCAACCUCCCCAGCAGUUAGGUGGCAUCACAUGAUUGAGUUCUAGUCAAUGGCAUAGGGAGAGAAAAGUGCCACUUUCAUGUGUUCUGUCUGGUUCUUUAUUAUUUCUUCUGUGCGUGCUGGUUGUAUAUCAAUUUCCAGUAUGUUCUGGAAGCCAUACAUUGAAGAUGAUGGACCCCCUUUUCAGCCAGGAUUCUACAAGACAAUAUGGAGAAAGUACCCCCCAAUCACAUUGGUCUGUGAUUGAUAGGUACAAAAAUUAUUGUAUUAUGCCACUGAGACAUAGGAGUUACUUGUUAUAGCAGCUAGCAUAACUUCACUUCAUACAUUGCUAAAAAGAUGUUUGAGGAGAUCCUUUUGUGGUUGAUAAGUGUGAUGAUUCAGUUUUCAUGCUCAUGUAUGAGAUGUGCCCCCAAUCAAACUUGUCACAACAUCUGCUUAUUAUCAGACAUGAAAAAAAAUAGAUGUUUCAGGAAUUUAAAAAUUGAACUUGCAGAAACAUCAAGAGAUUAGGGAAAUUUUAAUCCCUUGGUCACUACAGCAUCACAGUGUCUGUUUUGCCAUCACUUUUUUGGACACAGGAGGCUAUAUAUGAGUGUGGGCGUGCCUAUGGGUAUGUCUGUCUGACUCUUCCCUACCCAGGAUAACUCUGGCUAAAUCCAAAUUUGUAUAUCCAAUAGUCCUUCUUUCUCCCUCUCACUCUAUUUUUUUUUUUUUUUUUGAGACAGAGUCUUACUCUGUCACCCAGGCUGGAGUGCAAUGGCAUAGUCUAGGCUCACUGCAACCUCCGCCUCCCAGGUUCAAGUGAUUCUCCUACCUCAGCCUCCAGAGUAGCUGGGAUUACAGGUGCAUGCCACCACACCCGGCUAAUUUUUGUAUUUUUAGUAGAGACGGGGUUUCACCAUGUUGGCCAGGCUGGUCUCAAACCCCUGAUCUCGUGAUCCAUCCGCCUCGGCCUCCCAAAGUGCUGGGAUUAUAGGCAUGAGCCACCAUGCUCAGCCUCAUCCUUCUUUCUCUAGGACUAAUGCCAGCAAGUUCCAGGACUUAUAACAUGUGCUUAACAUCAGAGAAGUCUUCACCAGGUGGUGAUGUCCUUAAGAUGUCUUCCUCAUUUCAAAAGCUUUAAGUUAGAAAUGUCACUAGAUCUUAGAUAAGGCCAUAUGCUACUUGUAACCUCCUGAAACCUGUCUGUCUGAAACCUGAAGGAGUGGUUCUUCAGCUCCCCCUCAAAGACUUAGGAAUUAAACUUGUCUGAAUUGUACACAUUGUGAGUGAAAUAGUGCCACUGGAAAGUACUUUACUGUUGAACUCAAUGCACCCUGUUAUUUGUCAAAUUGGUGUUAUUUGACUCGUUACAAAUGGAAAUGCUUUUAUGCUAUGAUGGAAGUGUUAUUUGCAUUUUUGUUACUAGUCUUAUUUUUAAAUAAUUUUUCAAUAGGUAACACAGUCAUUUGGUUCAAAAAUAAAGCCUGCUUCCCAAGUAGUUAUUAGUUUUUAACAAUCUCUUCUAGAAUUUCAUUUCACACACAUAAGCAAAAUAUAUAUAUUCUCAUUCCCUUCCCCAUUUCUCUACAUAAAAUUGAGCUUACUUGAUGCAUUGUUACACAUCUUGCUUUUUUUACUUAACAUGACAUCUUGACAAUCUUUUAUAUCAGUUAUUUUUAAUAACUGCAUGUUUAACUUUUUACUUUGAAAUAAUUACGGAUUCAUAGUAAAUUGCAAAGGUACCCUUCACCCAAUUUUCCCUAAUAUAUCAACACCUAGUUUUUAAAAUUGUAAGUUAAAAUAACAGUAGCGAAACACUUUCAGCACUGCUCUUUUUCUUUCUUUUUAGUCAGGGUUUCCCUCUGUUGCCCAGGCUGGACUGCAGUGGCUCGAUCCUAGCCCACUGCAGCCUCCAACUCCUGGGCUGAAGCAUUCCUCCUGCCUCAGCUUCUUCCAAUAGCUGGGACUUCAGGCAUGAGCCACCACACCCAGCUAAUUUCUGAAUAUUUUGUGAAACCAGGGUCUCACCAUGUUACCAAGGCUGAUCUUGAACUCCUGGCCUCAAGUGAUUCUCCUGCCUUGGCCCCCCAAAGUGCUGGGAUUAUCGGUAUAAGCCACCAUGCCUGGCCCACUUUUAGCACUGUUCUAAGUGCUUUGCAUAGAUGAACAUUAAUAAAAAUGUAUCACCCCCAUAUACAGAUGGGGAAACUAAGGCACAAAGAGGAUAAAGAACGUGUCCAAAUAACAGAGAUAGUAAUUAAUGAGGCCACGUUUUGGACCUGGGGAGUUUGGCUUAAAAGUCUGUGUUCUUAACUCUUAGAUAAGACUACAUUAACUCCUUUGAGUAAUGGGUGUUCAUAGUUAAGCAAAAGCAAACAAUGAUGUGAAGGGUUGAAAGUGUAAUCAUUCAAUUCUUUUGCAGACUUUCAUAAAUGUACUGUGUUCAUGCAUGCGAUAUAUUUUAAGACAAUACUGUUUUAAAACUUUUUUAAUAGUUUUAAUAUUGAACUUUCUGUAUCAAUAUAAUCUCCUACAUCAUUCUACAUAUCUGCAUCAUUUUCUAUGACUCUUCCUUAGUUUAUUACAGAUAAAUGUUUGUUUUCUUUUUAUUAUAAUAACUGGUGCAGAAAACAUUCUUGCACAUGGAUUUCUGCUCAUUUAUAUGAGUGAAUCUACAUCAUAAAAUCCUGGAAGCGGAAUUGCUGGCUCAAAGGUAUGUGUGUUCUAUACUUUAAUGGAAACCGCCAAAUCCCCCUUCACAAAGAUGGCUGCAAUUUAUGCUUCUGACCUCACUUUCUGUUCCUAAUUACCUCUACAGCCUCUAUUAGGGAAUUCUUUAUAAUAACCAGAGACCUAAAUUGAACCAAAUAAGUCCCAGAAAUGUGAGCCUUUGUACUUAAUAAUUUAUGUCUCUCCUGUCAGUUUCACUGUAAAAAAUAAAAUUUUUUGUUAUUCAAAAC
rnacentral:lncRNA from 1 species